rnacentral:rRNA from 1 species
UUGGAGGGCAAGUCUGGUGCCAGCAGCCGCGGUAAUUCCAGCUCCAAUAGCGUAUAUUAAAGUUGUUGCAGUUAAAAAGCUCGUAGUUGAAUUUCGGGACCAAUUUGUUGGUCGUGCCUCGGUACGUACUGGUAUUAUUGGUUUCUCCCUUCUGAAGAACCUCGAUGCCAUUAAUUUGGUGUCGUGGGGAAUCAGGACUGUUACUUUGAAAAAAUUAGAGUGUUUAAAGCAAGCAUACGCUUGAAUACAUUAGCAUGGAAUAAUGAAAUAGGACGUUUGGUUCUAUUUUGUUGGUUUCUAGGAUCGACGUAAUGAUUAAUAGGGAUAGUUGGGGGCAUUAGUAUUCAAUUGUCAGAGGUGAAAUUCUUGGAUUUAUUGAAGACUAACUACUGCGAAAGCAUUUGCCAAGGAUGUUUUCAUUAAUCAAGAACGAAAGUUAGGGGAUCGAAGACGAUCAGAUACCGUCGUAGUCUUAACCAUAAACUAUGCCGACUAGGGAUCGGAUGAUGUUAAUUUUUUAAUGACUCAUUCGGCGCCUUACGAGAAAC